rnacentral:rRNA from 1 species
CCUACGGGUGGCAGCAGUGAGGAAUAUUGGUCAAUGGUCGGGAGACUGAACCAACCAAGCCGCGUGAGGGAUGAAGGUACAGAGUAUCGUAAACCUCUUUUGUCAGGGAACAAAGGCGGGGACGUGUCCCCGGAUGAGUGUACCUGAAGAAAAAGCAUCGGCUAACUCCGUGCCAGCAGCCGCGGUAAUACGGAGGAUGCGAGCGUUAUCCGGAUUUAUUGGGUUUAAAGGGUGCGCAGGCGGUCUGUUAAGUCAGCGGUCAAAGCCCGGGGAUCAACCCCGGCCCGCCGUUGAAACUGACAGCUGCGCGGUGGAGAGAAGGAUGCGGAAUGUGCGGGGUAGCUGUGAAAUGCAUAGAUAGCGCGCAGAACUCCGAUUGCGAAGGCAGCAUGCCGGCUCCACACUGACGCUGAGGCACGAAAGCGUGGGUAUCGAACAGGAGUAGAUACACUUGUAGGC